CGUAUCACCCAAGACAACUUUACGGAGUUGACGAUUGACGGAGCGAAGCGACGUCAAAGCGUUCAUUAAAGUCGAGUUGGCUUAGGGAUACGUUCGUUGGGUAGGGGAGCGUUCUGUAAGCCUGUGAAGGUGUGUCGUGAGGCAUGCUGGAGGUAUCAGAAGUGCGAAUGCUGACAUAAGUAACGAUAAAGCGGGUGAAAAGCCCGCUCGCCGGAAGACCAAGGGUUCCUGUCCAACGUUAAUCGGGGCAGGGUGAGUCGACCCCUAAGGCGAGGCCGAAAGGCGUAGUCGAUGGGAAACGGGUUAAUAUUCCCGUACUUGGUGUUACUGCGAAGGGGGGACGGAGAAGGCUAUGUUGGCCGGGCGACGGUUGUCCCGGUUUAAGGGUGUAGGUGUGUGUUCCAGGUAAAUCCGGUUCACUUUAACACUGAGGCGUGACGACGAGGCACUACGGUGCUGAAGCAACAAAUGCCCUGCUUCCAGGAAAAGCCUCUAAGCAUCAGGUAACACGAAAUCGUACCCCAAACCGACACAGGUGGUCAGGUAGAGAAUACCAAGGCGCUUGAGAGAACUCGGGUGAAGGAACUAGGCAAAAUGGUGCCGUAACUUCGGGAGAAGGCACGCUGACACGUAGGUGAAGUGAUUUACUCAUGGAGCUGAAGUCAGUCGAAGAUACCAGCUGGCUGCAACUGUUUAUUAAAAACACAGCACUGUGCAAACACGAGAGUGGACGUAUACGGUGUGACGCCUGCCCGGUGCCGGAAGGUUAAUUGAUGGGGUCAGCG
rnacentral:rRNA from 1 species